UACAGAGGGGGCAAGCGUUGUUCGGAAUUACUGGGCGUAAAGGGCGCGUAGGCGGCCUUCUAAGUCGAACGUGAAAUCCCCGGGCUCAACCCGGGAACUGCGUCCGAUACUGGAAGGCUUGAAUCCGGGAGAGGGAUGUGGAAUUCCAGGUGUAGCGGUGAAAUGCGUGGAUAUCUGGAGGAACACCGGUGGCGAAGGCGACAUCCUGGACCGGUAUUGACGCUGAGGCGCGAAAGCCAGGGGAGCAAACGGG
rnacentral:rRNA from 1 species